GUGCCAACAGAUGAUUCUC
rnacentral:snRNA from 1 species